CUAACCAAAGUGAUUAGGAUUCAAUAAACCGAAAAUUUUGGAUAAAAGUAGUACAGUACAAUCUCGUUUAUCCGAACUGGGACCAAUAGAAAUCCGUGCAAACUGAAAUCCGGUUACUAUCCAUGGAUAAUAAAUGAAACACGAAAGAAGCGGUUAUCAACACAAGAUGCAUUGGCUGUUUGAAAGCUUAAAUGGUGACUGAUGAGGAUUUUGAGGACUCAAGUGAUGAUCUUGCUCCCGAACUAAAGCUUAUGAAUUCGUUGAUGAUGUUGACAAAGAUACUGUUUGAAUAAGAGGUCAUUUGGUGAAAUUGAAGAAUUUGAUGUACCAAAACCGUAUCUGUAGCAAAACUAGCAAAUGCUUCCAGAACGAAACUUCGAAAAUAUGGUUUGGAGGCCAAGUACAUUAUGUAUCAAUGUGUAAAUAAAGAUAUUCCAGAUUCGUUAAAAUUAUAUUGAAACAUACAUCAUUUUUAACUGCAAAGUUUUAAAAAUGUGGCCCACUGUAUGAUAAAUAGGAUAACCGAUAAAUAAAAAUCAUCCGCAAAAAACUUUUG